rnacentral:ncRNA from 2 species
CCACCCGAGGGGCGCUGCAGCAGGUUCCAGAACCUGUCAGGCUCGGAUGGGGCGUUUCCUCGAACGCAUCAACGGCGCCCAUUCGCA